UACCAGCAAAUGGACCCUCGGCCUCAGUACACGGCAGCACCCAACUGCCACACCAUGUGGCCAUGUCUUCUGUUGGAACUGCAUUAUGAAAUGGUGCAAUGAAAAGCCCGAACGCCUUCUCUGCCGCACCCCGAUGACACACUCUAGCUUAGUUUGUAUAUAUCAUGCUGACUUUUGAUGAGAUUAGGAUCGUCUGACUUCCACUAUUGUACCGAAUUACAAUGUUAUCGAUGAGUCAUGGAUCAAAAUAACCAGCCAGUCUCUUGAGCUCAAGGAUUCUUGGAAGAGAAGGUGGUGGCAAUCCACGUCCAAGCAGUCCAUAUCAGGACAUGGAAAAUUCUUUGAGACUUCUGUAACAAGCAAUUAGAUGAUUGCAAAGGAUAAUUGCUUCAGCAUUUGAGGUAUUAUACAAUGCUCAGCUGAGAUUAAGAUUCUCUAGGUUGGGCCCAUGGUUCAGUGAUCUGUAUUGUUGAUAUCAAGGCAUUCGUGGGUCUCUCCGUAAAUGGCUCGUGCGCCAAAAAAAUAA